AGAGAGACAUCCCUGACCUAUCAGAAGCGAGAGAGAGAGAGAUCCCUGACCUAUCAGAAGCGAGAGACAGAGAGAGAGAGAUCCCUGACCUAUCAGAAGCGAGAGAGCGAGAGAGAGCGAGAGAUCCCUGACCUAUCAGAAUCAGAAAGUGUCUUUGUGCUGUGGAUAUCACAGUUGUAACUGAGUGUAAAGGAGUCUUGUAACAUCCAGAAUCUACAGAGCGAUGGGUUAGCAUUCUGCUCAUUGGUAGCUGUAAUAUUCAAGUUAGCAUUCGGCUCAUUGGUAGCUGUAAUAUUCAAGUUCCCAUAUUUGUUACCAUGUAUGCUUAUACGCUUGUUUAUCUAGCAUGCCGUUCUUCUUCUUCUUUACCCAAUCUCCCCUCUUCCGUAUCGAUUCCUCUCUCCAGAUCAUUAUCUCCGGUAUUAAAAGCCCGCGUUAUUAUUAUUUGUAGAGUAUUUAUUAAGCUGUAGAUUUAUGUCCCAAAAUGUUGGGUGUCCAUGAUCGUUGUCGUUGAUUGGUUUCUGACUAGAUGCUAACUUGAGAUGGGACCCCGCACUCAAACGAAAUCAUCACGAUUGGCUUAAAUCGUUCAUUGAUUGAUAUUGAUCAGAGAUUUUUCAGCCAAAAACUUGGAUUGGAGCGGCUCGCUCAUCUCAAGUUAGGAUUCGGCCCAAAAAGAAAACAAGAAUAGGAAAUGUGUGAAUACAACUGUACGGGGAAAAAGAUUGUGAUAUAAAUGUUUAAAUAAAAAAUGUUUAAAUAAAAAACAUGAAGUAAUAUGUAAGA